rnacentral:rRNA from 1 species
UACGUAGGGCGCAAGCGUUGUCCGGAAUUAUUGGGCGUAAAGAGCUCGUAGGCGGUCUGUUACGUCCGCUGUGAAAACCCAGGGCUUAACCCUGGGCUUGCAGUGGAUACGGGUAGACUAGAGGCAGGUAGGGGAGAAUGGAAUUCCCGGUGUAGAGGUGAAAUUCGUAGAUAUCGGGAGGAACACCGGUGGCGAAGGCGGCAUCCUGGACCAACACUGACGCUGAGUGAGCGAAAGCCAGGGGAGCAAACGGG